GAUGCAUUGAUGAGUUGAAGCACACGGGAGUGUGUUUGGGCAGUGGAAAAUACCUAAAAAGUAUUUGCCGUAAGCCUUAAACAAAAACGACUUGUCUUUUCACCGAUCUUC